rnacentral:rRNA from 1 species
CCUACGGGAGGCAGCAGUGAGGAAUAUUGGUCAAUGGACGCGAGUCUGAACCAGCCAAGUAGCGUGCAGGAUGACUGCCCUACGGGUUGUAAACUUCUUUUAUAUGGGAAUAAAAUGUUCCACGUGUGGCAUUUUUUAUGUAUCCUAUGAAUAAGGAUCGGCUAACUCCGUGUCAGCAGCCGCGGUAAUACGGAGGAUCCGCGCGUUAUCCGGAUUUAUUUGGUUUAAAGGGAGCGUAGGUGGAUUUUUAAGUCAGUUGUGAAAGUUUGCGGCUCAACCGGAAAAUUGCAGUUGAAACUGGCAGUCUUGAGUACAGUAGAGGUGGGCGGAAUUCGUGGUGUAGCAGUGAAAUGCUUAGAUAUCACGAAGAACUCCGAUUGCGAAGGCAGGUCACUGGACUGCAACUGACACUGAGGCUCGAAAGUGUGGGUAUCAAACAGGAUUAGAUACCCUUGUAGUC